AAACAUGUCCUUUUGUUUAUUUAAAAGGUCUGGCCUGCCCAGUGAUAUAAAUUCAACGGCCGCGGUAUAUUGACCGUGCAAAGGUAGCAUAAUCAUUAGUCUUUUAAUAGGGGGCUGGUAUGAAAGGUUAAACGAAACAUUAACUGUCUUAUUUAUAAAUAUUAAAAUUUAACUUUUAAGUCAAAAGGCUUAAAUUUUUUUGGAGGACGAGAAGACCCUAUAGAGCUUUACAUUAUAUUUUUUAAUAUUUCUUGGUUAAAUAUUUUGAUAUUAAUUUAUCUAUUGUUUUGUUGGGGUGACAAUAAAAUAUGAUUAACUUUUUAUAAAACUUACAUUUAUUUAUGAAUUUUUGAUCCAAUAUUAUUGAUCAUUAGAUUAAGUUACCUUAGGGAUAACAGCGUAAUCUUUCUUAGGAGUUCAAAUUUACAGAAAGGCUUGCGACCUCGAUGUUGGAUUAAGAUAAUAGUUAGGUGCAGUAGCUUAACGAAUA
rnacentral:rRNA from 1 species